rnacentral:lncRNA from 1 species
GAUGCACUCCGCACUGUAAACAUGAAAAUCAAAAAAUAAUAAAAAACACAAAAUAUUGGAUUGUACCAAGCAACAGACAGGCCAUCAUGGGAAACAUACACCACAGAGUUAAUAUGGUUCUGAUCGCAUUGGUUAUGGCAAUGUCUGCACAUGAAUUUCUCACUCCUCAAGAAAACCAAUCAACUUCUUCAUCAGAACUUCCAAUGAAUAGUACUUCAGAUGGACAAAACGACUCACCGGGAAGAGCUGAAGCCCACUCUGCCUGGCCCAUUGUGCUCGGUGCGUUGACAGCAGUGCUUUCCAUCGGCCUCCUGAUAGCACUGGCCGUGAGGUACCGCUUCUUCCGAUGGUGCCUGACCAGAAACAGUCCCGCUUUAUUACUGGAGGGAGAAACGGCCAGUCAGUUCAGCCAAGCUGGAGAUCUGGAGAGAGAGAUCCCAGUGCAUGGCAUGAGGGGCAGAAUGAUCCGGAGGGGAGAAAGUUCAGAUGAUGAUGAUGAUGAUGGCUUCAUCGAGGAUAACUACAUCCAGGCAAACGAGAGAGAGAAAGCAGAGGAAGAGGAAAUCCAGCAGGA